AUCUUAGAUUAUGAGGGGCUUUCGCUGCUGCAGUGGCGCAGCUCUGGGUCGCGAAAAGGGAGAUGGGAGGGAUUCUGUGAGGAGUUUGAGGUUUACGUCUAGAGGAUUGCAAAAAACAGCACGAGAGUAUAUGAACCCGCAGAAUCGCCGAACAAUAAAGGGAUAAUGAGUUUUGUGCCUGGUCCCGCGCGUUCCUUAUCAAGGGUAAAUCCGAUUUGACAACACGUCACCGUUACUCCCACAGAUAUUUUAAGCGGCCAACCUCUUCUAUGCCGCUUUUCAAGUACUGUUUUUGCCAGGUAUCU